rnacentral:rRNA from 1 species
AUUAGCUAGUUGGUAGGGUAAUGGCCUACCAAGGCCACGAUCGGUAGCCGGCCUGAGAGGGUGAUCGGCCACACUGGAACUGAGACACGGUCCAGACUCCUACGGGAGGCAGCAGUGGGGAAUUUUGCGCAAUGGGCUAACGCCUGACGCAGCAACGCCGCGUGGAGGAUGAAGGUCUUUGGAUUGUAAACUCCUGUCAGCAGGGAAAAAGGGAUGAGACCUCAUACGUCUCAAACUUGAUUGUACCUGCAGAGGAAGCCCCGGCUAACUCUGUGCCAGCAGCCGCGGUAAUACAGAGGGGGCAAGCGUUAUUCGGAAUUAUUGGGCGUAAAGGGCGCGUAGGCGGCUUUGCAAGUGACGGGUGUAACCCCUCGGCUUAACCGAGGAACUGCCCGUUAGACUGUGAGGCUUGAGACCGGGAGAGGUGAGUGGAAUUCCCAGUGUAGCGGUGAAAUGCGUAGAUAUUGGGAGGAACACCAGUGGCGAAGGCGGCUCACUGGACCGGUACUGACGCUGAGGCGCGAAAGCGUGGGGAGCAAACAGGAUUAGAUACCCUGGUAGUCCACGCCGU